rnacentral:rRNA from 1 species
AACGCUAGCUACAGGCUUAACACAUGCAAGUCGCGGGGUAACGAGAGGGAAGCUUGCUUUCCUUGUCGACGACCGGCGCACGGGUGAGUAACGCGUAUCCAACCUGCCCAUUACCACGGGAUACCCCGUCGAAAGGCGGCCUAAUACCGUAUGCAGUCGUCAGAUGACAUCAGAGGACGACGAAAGGAUUGGCGGUAAUGGAUGGGGAUGCGUCUGAUUAGGUAGUUGGAGGGGUAACGGCCCACCAAGCCAUCGAUCAGUAGGGGUUCUGAGAGGAAGGUCCCCCACAUUGGAACUGAGACACGGUCCAAACUCCUACGGGAGGCAGCAGUGAGGAAUAUUGGUCAAUGGGCGCGAGCCUGAACCAGCCAAGUAGCGUGAGGGAUGACGGCCCUAUGGGUUGUAAACCUCUUUUAUGCGGGAAUAAAAUGUUUGACGUGUCAUACAUUGUAGGUACCGCAAGAAUAAGGACCGGCUAAUUCCGUGCCAGCAGCCGCGGUAAUACGGAAGGUCCAGGCGUUAUCCGGAUUUAUUGGGUUUAAAGGGAGCGUAGGCCGCAAGUCAAGCGUGUUGUGAAAUGCAGGGGCUCAACCUCUGGAUUGCAGCGCGAACUGGCAUGCUUGAGUACGCACGAGGUAGGCGGAAUUUGUGGUGUAGCGGUGAAAUGCUUAGAUAUCACGAAGAACUCCGAUUG